CCUACGGGAGGCAGCAGUGGGGAAUAUUGCACAAUGGGGGAAACCCUGAUGCAGCGACGCCGCGUGAGUGAAGAAGUAUUUCGGUAUGUAAAACUCUAUCAGCAGGGAAGAAAAUGACGGUACCUGAUUAAGAAGCCCCGGCUAACUACGUGACAGCAGCCGCGGGAAUACGUAGGGGGCAAGCGUUAUCCGGAUGUACUGGGGGUAAAGGGAGCGUAGACGGCAGCACAAGUCUGGCGUGAAAUGCCGGGGGUUAACCCCGGAACUGCGUUGGAAACUGUGCAGCUAGAGUGCACGAGAGGUAUGUGGAAUUCGUAGUGUAGCGGUGAAAUGCGUAGAUAUCAGGCGGAACCCCAGUUGCGAAGGCGGCUUACUGGAGUGUAACUGACGUUGAGGCUCGAAAGCGUGGGGAGCAAACAGGAUUAGAUACCCCUGUAGUC
rnacentral:rRNA from 1 species